ensembl:snoRNA
AUCCUUUUGCAGUUCAUGAGCGUGACGAUUGGGUAUUCAUGCGCCUGCAUGACAUGUGCCUCCCUCAAACCUUGUUAUGACAUCGGCACAUUACCCGUCUGAUG